rnacentral:rRNA from 1 species
GGGUGAGUAAUGUCUGGGAAACUGCCUGAUGGAGGGGGAUAACUACUGGAAACGGUAGCUAAUACCGCAUAGCGUCGCAAGACCAAAGAGGGGGACCUUCGGGCCUCUUGCCAUCAGAUGUGCCCAGAUGGGAUUAGCUAGUAGGUGGGGUAACGGCUCACCUAGGCGACGAUCCCUAGCUGGUCUGAGAGGAUGACCAGCCACACUGGAACUGAGACACGGUCCAG